AUCGGAGUCUGCAACCCGACUCCGUGAAGCUGGAUUCGCUAGUAAUCGCGCAUCAGCCAUGGCGCGGUGAAUACGUUCCCGGGCCUUGUACACACCGCCCGUCAAGCCAUGGGAGCCGGGGGGUGCUUGAAGUGCGUCGCCGCAAGGCGCGCCCUAGAGCAAAACCGGUGACUGGGGCUAAGUCGUAACAAGGUACC
rnacentral:rRNA from 1 species